rnacentral:rRNA from 1 species
UACGUAGGGCGCAAGCGUUUGUCCGGAAUUAUUGGGUACGUAAGAGCUCGUUAGGCGGCUUGUUGCGAUCGACGUGUGAAAACCCCGACCGGCUUAACCGCGGGCCUUUGACAGUUGAUACGGGGCAGGCUAGAAGUUCGGUAGGGGGAAGACUGGAAUUCCUGGUGUAGCGGUGAAAAUGCGCAGAUAUCAGGAGGAACACCGGUGGCGAAGGCGGGUCUCUGGGCCGAUACUGACGCUGAGGAGCGAAAGCGUGGGGAGCGAACAGG